AGAGUUUGAUCCUGGCUCAGAUUGAACGCUGGCGGAAUGCUUUACACAUGCAAGUCGAACGGCAGCACGGGUGCUUGCACCUGGUGGCGAGUGGCGAACGGGUGAGUAAUACGUAGGAACAUAUCCUGUAAUGGGGGAUAACGCACCGAAAGGUGUGCUAAUACCGCAUACGCCCUGAGGGGGAAAGCGGGGGAUUCGAAAGAACCUCGCGUUAUAGGAGUGGCCUACGGCUGAUUAGCUAGUUGGUGAGGUAAAGGCCUACCAAGCCGACGAUCUGUAGUUGGUCUGAGAGGACGACCAGCCACACUGGGACUGAGACACGGCCCAGACUCCUACGGGAGGCAGCAGUGGGGAAUUUUGGACAAUGGGGGCAACCCUGAUCCAGCAAUGCCGCGUGCAGGAAGAAGGCCUUCGGGUUGUAAACUGCUUUUGUCAGGGAAGAAAUCCUGUGGGUUAAUACCUCGUGGGGAUGACGGUACCUGAAGAAUAAGCACCGGCUAACUACGUGCCAGCAGCCGCGGUAAUAC
rnacentral:rRNA from 1 species